GAAUGGAAAGGAAGACUGGAAGAGAGGCGCCGCCUUGGGUUUCCCGAAAACCCCCCUCUCCACAGUCCAUACACCGCUAGACCCAGCGCACCGGAGCCUGUGUCCCGCGCGGCCUCGACGUGGAGCACCCUCCGCCUCAUGUCCCCGCGGCAGCCUCCUCCCACCCACGCAUGCAACAAGGUCUUCUGGCCUCAUUCAUUGGCCUCAACCCUCAAGCAUCGGCUGUGCGGACAUGCUGCGCUCCUGCACCUCCUCGGCCGCCGCUCCCAGAUUCACCGCGCCAGGACGCUCGACGGACCGGGUGCCCGCCCCCUGGCCGCCCUUCGCAGCGGUCCCCGCCUGCUGAAACCCCUCCCGCCCUUAGCUGUAGGCCUCGCGGCUCGGCGCGGUCGAAAGCAGCUGGUGCGCGAUCGAGAAGAGUCCGCCGGCUUCUCUGGUGCGGGCUGCGGGGUGCGGUGUUUCUGAGGUCCGCCGCGCCGCGAUGAGGCGAAUGCAGCAGUGAGAUGAGAUGGUAGUGAUCCUCUACUCCCAGAGGUGCAGGUGUAAAUGCAGUCAGAAAAUUCGGCAUGAGCCCCCUCUCUGAGCUGGUGUGGUCUCCGGAUGAAGGCUUGAGCAUUAAAAUUGCGGCGUCUAGUCUUAGCACAAGAAAGGCUUCUCUUCGUUGGAAUGCAGAUACAUUGAGCAUAUUGAUAUCUUCACCUCAACGAAGUGGUUCUGGUCCAGGUGAAAAGAACGGUGAUACCAUAAAUGAUAACCUAGAGGUAUCAGAAAAGAUGCCAUCACAACUGCGGAUUCGCAGUGACAGCUCAGUGAGAGUAACCGUGGAUAGCCCCAAUAGUACAAAUGUUGACGCCCUACAAUUUACGUCUAUGAGAUCGCAGGAGCAAGAUUCAACUAAACUUGUAGAGUGCUGUGAAGGGAUUAAUGUUAUGAACGAAGGUAAAGAAGAGUCAGAAAACUGUUGCGUGGAUAAGCUGGAGGACAUGGAAGUGGGGAAUUGUCCCACCAGAUGCUGCAAGGAUGCUUCCCAUAGUUCAGCCUCCAGGAAAAAAGUCGUGCCUAGCAUUUCAGAAAACCAGGCUUGCUGUGCAACCACUUUCUGCAAUGAAAGAUCUUGGGAAACUAAUGCAUGGCGUGCUCGGUUAGUAAAGGCAGUUUGUCAGAAAGAAUCUAUUUUGCCAACGAACACAGAGAAUCCAAUUUUACCUUCUUCCAUAGGAAUUUCAUGUGAUGCAGUAGAGUUCUCAGGCAAAUUGGUAGGUUCCCAAGGCAAGUUUCAAAGCCUGGGUGUAAGUAGUAAUGCUCUAGAAAUUCAUUCUCAUGACAAUUGCCAAGAUCCGGUUCUGCACGAAAGCCAUAAGGAUGAGCCUGUUAUUGCUAGAGGUGAGUCAGCAUCUGGUGUUAAUAUUGUUGCAAGAUGUGAGUCGGUACCUGGAGUUGAUUCCAGCAAUUUUGUGAGAGGCAAAGAAAAAGUUAUGUACAAUGACAGCAAUUGUGGUAACAAUACAAGGGAGGGUGAUGACAGCAAUGAGAGCAUCGAGAGCUGUACAAGUACAAAAGCCCCAAAGCGCAAGCAUGCGCAGUGUUGUGCAGCCACGAUGCCUUCUUCUGGAAACAAAAGAUUUAGAAGAGAAGACAAUGAGAGUUCUUGUUCGGGAUUAUUGCAAAAAUGUGGUACAUCUUUCUUCAACUGGAUGUCAUCACUCACGAAUGGGUUACCCAUGCUAGAUGGAGCCACUGCUGCCGUUCCACUUGAACAGAAGUUUUCAGCAAGUACAGGAGAUGGAUCUGCAGCACCUUCCCAGCCACUUCAAAACAACCGCAGCGUUCCUAUGCAAUUUUUUGGCUUCAAUUCGCUCUUCCAGUCCCUGUAUACUCGUAAUGUUAUGAUAACUUCAGGAGAUAAUUGUCGUCAACCAGAAAGCAACUGUGCUGGACAUGUGUUCAAUAGACUGACCCUGGAAUUAAAUGAUAGCAAUUCUAUGUUGAACAAAGAAAUUGGCAUGGGUAGAGAAACUCUUGAUCUGGCUACUCAGACUUCAGCUGCUGAAGGAUUUCAGAUGAUUUCUGGUGGCUGUAGAGGAAAUGUUCAGAGUCAAAUUGAUAUUUUCCAAAUGAGACCAGAAAGAAAUAUGAAACUGCCCAGUUCCAGUAAGUUUAGCUCUAGAUCUCUAGAAGAAAAACAAAAUCAGUGCACAGCUGCCUGCUCAAAUGAUGCAACACAAAAUAAAGGUGGUUUGAGGGAAAGCUUGUGGGUAACUCGGCUUUUGCCAAAAGCAUCAGUAGAAUUGAUGGAGGCAACACCAUGCAAUGUAGAGAAUGCUGUUAGUCCACAGGCUGUGGGUGACAAGUUGUGUUGUCCACCUCUUCAGAAUUUUAAUUUGGAGAAGGAACUAAAUAAUAUACAAUACUUCACUGGAAGAGGAAGCAGCGAUGGUGUAACAAGUAGUAAAUGUCCAGCAACGCCUCCAGAGGAACCUAAGCAAUCUGAAACAAUGGCUUCUGUUUUUGCAAAGAGAUUGGAUGCACUUAGACAUGCAAACACCUCUGCAGUAAGCUUGGCUAUCGCGUGUGAGCAUGGAAGUCCCAAACUGAGAAACCACAAAACUAACUCUUUUGUUGUUAGUUACAGCAGCCAUGAUAAAGUAGAGGCAGGACAUGAAAAUCAUAAAUCUUCUAGUGGAAACGGAAGAAUAGUUUUGUGGGUAGGUGACAAAGGCAAGGAACCGAUGUGUCUAAACAAUGAAGAAUUAAGAGGAAACUUCAUAUCUGAGCGUGAGCAUCAGCAUCAUGGAGGGAACACAGCUGGAAAAUUGGCAACUCAGCAUAAUUUAGAACUGAACAUAUUGGCUGAAGAUACAGACAGAAGCCAAGUAGAAUUGAAGGGAGGAGUCUUAGAUUUUAUGGCAGGUCCAUCAGACAACAAGCAAAUUGUACCUUAUGGCACUAUGUCUAAUGAUGAAUCAAGUGUUAUUUUUGGUGCCUUACAUAGGCUUCGCCUGUCCCGCUCAGAUAUCUUAAGAUGGCUGAGAUCACCGAUCAUGCACACUACGUUAGAUGGCUUUUUUGUCCGACUGCGAUUUGGUAAAUGGGAGGAAGCAUUGGGUGGCACAGGAUACCAUGUUGCCCGCCUGAAUGGAGCACUUGAUAGGAGUCGCCUUUCUGUAACCAUCAGAAAUUCAACCUGUCAAGUAGAUUCUCGCUUUGUAUCCAACCAUGACUUCCAUGAGUUGCCUAGGCGUCCAGGUGCUAAAAAAAAAUCCUAGGCGUCCCUGUCGCCACAACCAAAAUCCAGCAAAACGAGAGAGGAGGUGAGUGAGAAGAAAGAUGAAUAACUUGAGGACGGCCAGCAUUUGAGGAAGGCCAAGCUCCUAUCUCCGUCCCAUCCCCAUCGGCCCUCAUGGCCAUAACAGCUUUCCUCACCAGCCAAUUGCAGCAUCAGGGAUGUGAAGGGAGCAGCAGCAGGCAGCAGCUCUUGAUCAGCAUAAAGUGGAGAGGGAUCUGCAAGGGGCAGCAGCAACGGAUGUGAAUGGGAGGGGGAGGGGGAUAGAGAGGGAGGGAGGGAGAGAGAGAGGCGGAGCUGAUGGAAGGGUCUUGAGAGGAGAGUGGCAGCACCAGGUCAUGGUCUCAUUAGAAGGAUGAGCUGAAGGCAUGGUGGUCUGCUGCUAUGAAGGGUGAGUGGAAGCUACCGUCGAAGGAAGAACUGGGUGUGAAACUAAGAGAAAAAGAGCUACUUCGCUCGUAGGAUGGAACGGUUGCGAAGUACUAAAAUAUGAAGGCUUCUAUUGUACCCAUCCUACUAGGAAAUUAUGAGCCAGUUGAUGAGGCAUGAAUUAUUUCACGACUUGGCCGCGGUUAGUGUGAAAAGGAGACGCUGCUAUAUAUGGUCAUCACCCUUGGUUUGUCCGUUCGCCAGAUAUCACGAUUAUCAUAUUUAUCGGUUGUAACAUAAGCUUCUUGUAUUAGCAUAUGGUUUAAUAUUUUUUUUCAGAUGGGAUGAGGUCCUGCGUGAUAUCCUAUCUGUAAAUAGGAAGGCACUAGCAGAUCUCGACAAAUGUACAACUGUUUUUUUUUUUUUUUUUGAGAAACUU